rnacentral:rRNA from 4 species
AGAGUUUGAUCCUGGCUCAGGAUGAACGCUGGCGGCGUGCCUAAUACAUGCAAGUCGAACGGAAACCUUCGGGUUUUAGUGGCGAACGGGUGAGUAACACGUAAGCAACCUACCCUAAAGACGAGGAUAACCAUUGGAAACAGUGGCUAAGACUGGAUAGGAAGAUAAAAGGCAUCUUGUAUCUUUUAAAAGACCUAGUUAAUAGGUAUGCUUUAGGAGGGGCUUGCGCCAUAUUAGUUAGUUGGUAGGGUAAUGGCCUACCAAGACGAUGAUGUGUAGCUGGACUGAGAGGUUGAACAGCCACAUUGGGACUGAGACACGGCCCAAACUCCUACGGGAGGCAGCAGUAGGGAAUUUUCGGCAAUGGAGGAAACUCUGACCGAGCAACGCCGCGUGAAUGACGAAGUACUUCGGUAUGUAAAGUUCUUUUAUCGAGGAAGAAAAGCAAAUGGCGAACCAUUUGUUUGCCGGUACUUGAUGAAUAAGCCCCGGCUAAUUAUGUGCCAGCAGCCGCGGUAAGACAUAAGGGGCAAGUGUUAUCCGGAAUUAUUGGGCGUAAAGGGUGCGUAGGCGGUCUAGUAAGUCAGUGGUGUAAUGGCAACGCUUAACGUUGUCCGGCUAUUGAAACUGCUAAACUUGAGUUAGAUAGAGGCGAGUGGAAUUCCAUGUGUAGCGGUAAAAUGCGUAAAUAUAUGGAGGAACACCAGAGGCGUAGGCGGCUCGCUGGGUCUUAACUGACGCUGAGGCACGAAAGCGUGGGGAGCAAACAGGAUUAGAUACCCUGGUAGUCCACGCCGUAAACGAUGAGUACUAAGUGUCGGGUUAAACCGGUACUGAAGUUAACACAUUAAGUACUCCGCCUGAGUAGUACGUACGCAAGUAUGAAACUUAAAGGAAUUGACGGGACUCCGCACAAGCGGUGGAUCAUGUUGUUUAAUUCGAAGAUACCCGAAAAACCUUACCAGGUCUUGACAUGUUUUUGCAAAAUGAUAGUAAUAUCGUGGAGGUUACCAGAAACACAGGUGGUGCAUGGUUGUCGUCAGCUCGUGUCGUGAGAUGUUAGGUUAAGUCCUAAAACGAGCGAAACCCUUAUCGUUAGUUGCCAGCACGUUAUGGUGGGGACUUUAACGAGACUGCCAAUGAUAAAUUGGAGGAAGGUGAGGAUCACGUCAAAUCAGCAUGCCCCUUAUGACCUGGGCUACAAACGUGAUACAAUGGCUGUUACAAAGGGUAGCUGAAACGCAAGUUCUUGGCCAAUCCCCAAAAACAGUCCCAGUCCGGAUUGAAGUCUGCAACUCGACUUCAUGAAGUUGGAAUCGCUAGUAAUCGCGAAUCAGCAUGUCGCGGUGAAUACGUUCUCGGGGUUUGUACACACCGCCCGUCAAACCACGAAAGUUGGCAAUACCCCAAAACGGUAGCCUAACUCGUUUAUUCGAGAGGGCGCCGUCUAAGGUAGGGUCGAUGAUUGGGGUUAAGUCGUAACAAGGUAUCCCUACCGGAAGGUGGGGAUGGAUCACCU